rnacentral:rRNA from 1 species
UUAGAGGAAGUAAAAGUCGUAACAAGGUUUCCGUAGGUGAACCUGCGGAAGGAUCAUUAUCGAAGCAGGGGACUGUCGCUGGUCUUUUACUAGACAUGUGCACGUUCUCUUUCUCAUACACACUUGUGCACCAUCUGUAGGCCCUUGAAAAAGAGGAUCUACGUAUUUUCAUCUUCACACCCAUCGCAUGUUAAUAGAAUGAAAUACAUAUCAUAAUACAACUUUCAGCAAUGGAUCUCUUGGCUCUCGCAUCGAUGACGAACGCAGCGAAUUGCGAUAAGUAAUGUGAAUUGCAGAUUUUCAGUGAAUCAUCGAAUCUUUGAACGCACCUUGCGCUCCUUGGUAUUCCGAGGAGCAUGCCUGUUUGAGUGUCAUUUUUAUUCUCAACCAUGCUUCAUUCUCUUGAUGCAUGGAUUGGACUUGGGAGUUGCUGGCGUCGCAAGACUAGUCGGCUCUCCUCAAAUGCAUUAGCAAAGUGGGCAUAUGUGGCCUUUCGAUGUGAUAAUGAUCGUCGUGGGGCAGGCAUGACAGCGUCCAUGUUGCUUCUAGUUCGAGAUUUGGAUUUGGAUCUUGCUAGUUACUAGUCGGUCGAGAGGCCAGCGAACACAACAGGGUCUAGGUCUUUCUCUCACUGAGGUUCUGACUUGGAUUUGGAUUUUGCUUAGCUACUAGUCGGUCGAGAGGCUGGUGAACGCGGCAAAUGAAGAUGAAGAUGAAAGAACGAUUCAAUGACUUGACCUCAAAUCAGGUAGGACUACCCGCUGAACUUAAGCAUAUCAAUAAGCGGAGGAAAAGAAACUAACAAGGAUUCCCCUAGUAACUGCGAGUGAAGCGGGAAGAGCUCAAAUUUUGAAUCUGGCAGUCCUUGUGGCCGUCCGAGUUGUAAUCUAGAGAAGCGUUUUCCGCGCUGGACCGUGUACAAGUCU